AUGAACGCUGGCGGCGCGCCUAACACAUGCAAGUCGAACGGCACCCCUCUUCGGAGGGAAGCGAGUGGCGAACGGCUGAGUAACACGUGGAGAACCUGCCCCCUCCCCCGGGAUAGCCGCCCGAAAGGACGGGUAAUACCGGAUACCCCCGGGAGCCGCAUGGCUCCCGGGCUAAAGCCCCGACGGGAGGGGAUGGCUCCGCGGCCCAUCAGGUAGACGGCGGGGUGACGGCCCACCGUGCCGACAACGGGUAGCCGGGUUGAGAGACCGACCGGCCAGAUUGGGACUGAGACACGGCCCAGACUCCUACGGGAGGCAGCAGUGGGGAAUCUUGCGCAAUGGGGGGAACCCUGACGCAGCGACGCCGCGUGCGGGACGGAGGCCUUCGGGUCGUAAACCGCUUUCAGCAGGGAAGAGUCAAGACUGUACCUGCAGAAGAAGCCCCGGCUAACUACGUGCCAGCAGCCGCGGUAAUACGUAGGGGGCGAGCGUUAUCCGGAUUCAUUGGGCGUAAAGCGCGCGUAGGCGGCCCGGCAGGCCGGGGGUCGAAGCGGGGGGCUCAACCCCCCGAAGCCCCCGGAACCUCCGCGGCUUGGGUCCGGUAGGGGAGGGUGGAACACCCGGUGUAGCGGUGGAAUGCGCAGAUAUCGGGUGGAACACCGGUGGCGAAGGCGGCCCUCUGGGCCGAGACCGACGCUGAGGCGCGAAAGCUGGGGGAGCGAACAGGAUUAGAUACCCUGGUAGUCCCAGCCGUAAACGAUGGACGCUAGGUGUGGGGGGACGAUCCCCCCGUGCCGCAGCCAACGCAUUAAGCGUCCCGCCUGGGGAGUACGGCCGCAAGGCUAAAACUCAAAGGAAUUGACGGGGGCCCGCACAAGCAGCGGAGCAUGUGGCUUAAUUCGAAGCAACGCGAAGAACCUUACCAGGGCUUGACAUAUGGGUGAAGCGGGGGAGACCCCGUGGCCGAGAGGAGCCCAUACAGGUGGUGCAUGGCUGUCGUCAGCUCGUGUCGUGAGAUGUUGGGUUAAGUCCCGCAACGAGCGCAACCCUUAUCAUUAGUUGCUACGCAAGAGCACUCUAAUGAGACUGCCGUUGACAAAACGGAGGAAGGUGGGGAUGACGUCAAAUCAUCAUGCCCCUUAUGACCUGGGCUACACACGUACUACAAUGGCGUUUAACAAAGAGAAGCGAAACCGCGAGGUUGAGCAAAUCCCCAAAAAACGUCUCAGUUCAGAUUGCAGGCUGCAACUCGCCUGCAUGAAGUCGGAAUUGCUAGUAAUCGUAGGUCAGCAUACUACGGUGAAUACGUUCCCGGGCCUUGUACACACCGCCCGUCACACCAUGGGAGUGGGUUGCAAAAGAAGUAGGUAGCUUAACCUUCGGGAGGGCGCUUACCACUUUGUGAUUCAUGACUGGGGUG
rnacentral:rRNA from 1 species